rnacentral:rRNA from 1 species
UACGUAGGGUGCGAGCGUUAAUCGGAAUUACUGGGCGUAAAGCGUGCGCAGGCGGUUAUGUAAGACAGGUGUGAAAUCCCCGGGCUUAACCUGGGAACUGCAUUUGUGACUGCAUAGCUAGAGUACGGUAGAGGGGGAUGGAAUUCCGCGUGUAGCAGUGAAAUGCGUAGAUAUGCGGAGGAACACCGAUGGCGAAGGCAAUCCCCUGGACCUGUACUGACGCUCAUGCACGAAAGCGUGGGGAGCAAACAGG